CACUGCUAGUAUUGGACAUGGAUAGGACAAUGAUGUCAGCGGUAACAAUGCAGCAGGUGAGGAGCAGAGCACCACAUGGUGCAUUUACACUUUCCUUCUUCAUUGCUUCCCCAGUGGAGCGUAUGAAAGCUGAAGCUGCGCAGGCUACAGCAAAAAUACAGGAGGAAAUGCAACAGAAGAUUGAACAGUUGCUGCAAGAGAAAGAGAAGAGCCAUGAGGAGCACAGCAAACAGUUGACUGAGAUGAUGGGGAAGGCACAGGACCAGAAUAAGAAUAUGCAACAGUUGGUUGAACAGUUGGUGCAACAGAAAGGAAAGAGUGAUGAGGACCACAGGAAAAAGUUGACUGAGAAGGUAGAUGAAGCACAGGCCAAGUUGAGAGAGUUGCAGAAGGAGAAAGAACAUUUGCAGAACCAGAUGAAGUGUCUAGAGGAAAAAAUCAAACAUCUGCCUGAGGAGAAAAAGAAGGAAAAUCAUGAAUAUGACCAACUUCGCGAGGUCUGGUAUUACAGAAGAGUGCUAUGGUUACUUCCAACAUGGAUACCUGUGACUCUAGCAGAGAUGUUCCUGACUCUGCCACGCCCCCACCUCCAUCCCAACUACAUUUUGUAGAUUAAGAUUCAAUGCCUUAGUGAGAUAUUUAGAAUUCAUGCCUGUGUUUCAUGUUUCCAUAAGGGGUGAGUAAGAGUUUGUAUUAAAGUCUAUGAUAAUAAAUAUAGAGGGCAAACGCAUGAUUACCUACACAGGUUGUAGACAACUGAUGAUAGAAAUCAACACC
rnacentral:lncRNA from 1 species